rnacentral:rRNA from 1 species
GAUGAACGCUGACAGAAUGCUUAACACAUGCAAGUCAACUUGAACUUCGGUUUGGGUGGCGGACGGGUGAGUAACGCGUAAAGAACUUGCCUCACAGAUAGGGACAACAUUUGGAAACGAAUGCUAAUACCUGAUAUUAUGAUUUUAGGGCAUCCUAGGAUUAUGAAAGCUAUAUGCGCUGUGAGAGAGCGUUGCGUCCCAUUAGCUAGUUGGAGAGGUAACGGCUCACCAAGGCGAUGAUGGGUAGCCGGCCUGAGAGGGUGAUCGGCCACAAGGGGACUGAGACACGGCCCUUACUCCUACGGGAGGCAGCAGUGGGGAAUAUUGGACAAUGGACCAAGAGUCUGAUCCAGCAAUUCUGUGUGCACGAUGAAGUUUUUCGGAAUGUAAAGUGCUUUCAGUUGGGAAGAAAAAAAUGACGGUACCAACAGAAGAAGAGACGGCUAAAUACGUG